rnacentral:lncRNA from 1 species
CGGCGGCACUAGGGAAGCGCGGCGGCGGCAGGUGGAGAUGCGGCUACAGCGCGACUGGAGAGAGGCGCGGCGGUGGCGGGUGGAGAUGCAGCGGCAGUGGCGCGACUGGAGAGAGGCGCGGCGGCGGCGCGACGGGAGAGAGGCGCGACCACGGCGGCGCGAUUGGGCGAGGCGCGGCGGCGGCGGCCGAGCGGAAGCUAGGGUUGUAACCUAAAAACUGAUACCAUGUAUGCUGAUGGAAUUGCACGAUGUAUUGAUCAGGUGCAGCCGCACGUAUAUAUGAUGUAUAAGGUGGGCCACGACCUCAACUAUACAAAACUAGGAGGUGUUCGGGCCAAAUACACAAUAUGCACACCAAAUACACAAUAUGCACAGAACAC